rnacentral:pre_miRNA from 1 species
AUAGUACCGGCAGGUACUAUGCAUAGUACUAUGCAUAGUACCUGCCGCAUAGCAUAGUACUAUGCAUAGUACCUGCUGUACUAU